UACGGAGGGGGCUAGCGUUGUUCGGAAUUACUGGGCGUAAAGCGCGCGUAGGCGGUUUUGUAAGUUAGAGGUGAAAGCCCGGAGCUUAACUCCGGAACUGCCUUUAAGACUGCAUCGCUAGAAUCGUGGAGAGGUGAGUGGAAUUCCGAGUGUAGAGGUGAAAUUCGUAGAUAUUCGGAAGAACACCAGUGGCGAAGGCGACUCACUGGACACGUAUUGACGCUGAGGUGCGAAAGCGUGGGGAGCAAACAGG
rnacentral:rRNA from 1 species